GUGGACAACAGCCACCGUCGUAGGGAGUGACGGAUUUUGGAUGGUUAGAGGAUUUUCUUGUACAUACAGGCCAUGAUGUCUUCCUGGAAGGGGAGGAGGAGCCACUGAAGAGGGCAGGAGUGCCAGCGUGUCCAUGGGGUACACUCCAGGCAUGAAAACAUGGACCUGAGUAACUAAGCCAGUGUCAUAAGGUCUGCUGAAGGUGCGUUAAGGAGAGGAUGGAUGAGUGAGACCAGUUUCUGGCGAUGUUCUGGUGGUAAGGAGACUGACGGACGUCGAAUAUUGUACAUAGCCCUCAGAUGUUGAGGAGUUUGGGAAGGAACGAGGUGACUCUACUGGCGGUUCACCAGGAAACCGUGGGCGCUGAGGACAGACAGUGUCUGCUGCACAGAAUGUUGGGCUUGAGCGAACGAGGAUGCUCAAGAUGAGCAGAUCAUCCAGUACGGGUACAUGUGGACUCCGCUCGAUCAGAGAUGGGCAGUCAGCACCACCAUUAUCUUGGUAAAGACCCUCAGGGCUGAUGAAAGGCCGAAGGGGAAGGCUCUGUAUUGAUAAUGGUGGCGGUCGUAGAAGAAUCUGAGAAACUGAAGAUGAGCCGGAAGGAUAGAGAUAUGAAGGAUGAAGUUGGAACAAGUCCCUUUCAUUAGCAGGAAUGGGGUGUCUGCCAGGGCUGAAGUCUGGAGACGAAGAACGUGAAUGGUGGCAGUUAGCCCUGGCCGCCAAAGGCGGGGAGAAAGAGGGCUGUGGAGCCGGGGGUGGCACAUGAACCCUGAUCAGAUAGAAAGAAGAAAAAAAGGGGGCGUGAAAAAGCUAUCCAGCCAAGCAUGAGAUCAAAAAAGUUGCAAGAGCAAAUGAACCGACCGACCUGUUUGUGGAGCAAAGACAGGACCAGAACUGGGGCUGGGUUGCCUCCUACACAGUGUUUCUAUUGAUGACGAUUCUAUGAAACCACUUUCAGUGAUCCUUUUUUUAGAAGAAGACUUUGCUGUUCAUCAAUUUAUAAAAUUCCACAUGUGUUCAAGGAUCCAUUUGCAGAAGCACAUUAUCACUAUCAAGAAAGCAAACACAAUGUGGGAAUUGCAAGAA